rnacentral:lncRNA from 1 species
GGCUGUUAAGCCCACCAACCAAUCUUUCUUUCUAUCUCAAAUUCUUGAUCACUGGUGCAAGUGGAGCAAAGGAAGUGGGGGAUGAACUCUUCUAUCUACCCUAGAAAUGGGUUGGAUCUAUUGAAUGAGAUCCUUCCGAAUGGGAUAAGAGAAUUCCUAAAAUUCCUGUAGUAUAGGCUUUCUUUCCAUUACUGGCUUCGGACUAGAAACUGAAGAUCUGGUCAAGUUUUCGAUUAACCUUCUAACUUGGACAGCUGGAAUGCUAACGGGAUAUGGGAAAAGCAUCCACCGACAUCCACAGAACCUCGCUAUACGAAUGGUGAUCCAACUCGAUCCACAUUCACUCUUUUCUAACUUAGAUUCAUCUUCCCCGCAUUUUG